rnacentral:lncRNA from 1 species
UAAAGAUCAAACCCAUCUGAGGUGAAGGUCAAGGCUAGUCCAAGGUAAAGAUCAAACCAUCUGAGGUGAAGAUCAAGGCCAAUCCAAGGUAAACAUCAAGGCCAAAUCGAGGUGAAGAUCAAGGCCAAACCAAGGUGAAGAUCAAGACCAAUCCGAGAUAAAGAUUAAAUGAAGUCAAGGCAAAGAUCAAGGCUACGUAAAAUCAAAGAUUAAAUAGAGCCAAGGCAUAAAUCAAUACUAAACUAAGAUAAAAAAUCAAGACUGAAAUGAAGUCCGAUGCCAAGAUGA